rnacentral:rRNA from 1 species
AGCGAACGCUGGCGGCAGGCUUAACACAUGCAAGUCGAACGGUCCUUCGGGAUAGUGGCGGACGGGUGAGUAACACGUGGGAACGUACCCUUAGGUUCGGAACAACACAGGGAAACUUGUGCUAAUACCGGAUAAGCCCUUCGGGGGGAAGAUUUAUCGCCUUUGGAGCGGCCCGCGUCUGAUUGGCUUGUUGGUGAGGUAAUGGCUCACCAAGGCUACGGUCAGUAGCUGGUCUGAGAGGAUGGCCAGCCACACUGGGACUGAGACACGGCCCAGACUCCUACGGGAGGCAGCAGUGGGGAACCUUGCGCAAUGGGCGAAAGCCUGACGCAGCCAUGCCGCGUGGAUGAUGAAGGUCUUAGGAUUGUAAAAUCCUUUCACCGGGGACGAUAAUGACGGUACCCGGAGAAGAAGCCCCGGCUAACUUCGUGCCAGCCGCCGCAGUAA